rnacentral:RNase_P_RNA from 1 species
GAAGUAGUUCAAGCGGUCGCAGGAUUGUAAAAAUCUUGAGGAAAGUCCGAACACCAAAGGGCAGGACGCUCCAUAACGUGGAGUCGCGGUGACGUGAAGGAAAGUGCAACAGAGAGCAGACCGCCAGCCAUUUUUAUUGUUUAUGAGAAUGUUGAUUAUCAGAUUUGAUUUUUCUUUUGGUAAUGACAAAUAUCAUGAUUGUAACUGUGGCUGGUAAGGGUGAAACGGUGCGGUAAGAGCGCACCAGUUUUCCAGGUGACUGGAAAAGCUUGGUAAACCCCGUCCGGUGCAAGACCAAAUAGGGAAGCGUUUGAGGGCUGCCCGCCUGAAGCUUUCGGGUAGGUCGCAUGAGGUGUGCGGCAACGUACAUCCCAGAUGAAUGAUCGCUGCUCUUAACAGGGUAACCUAAUAAGAGAACAGAAUUCGGCUUACGAACUGCUCUCACC